rnacentral:rRNA from 1 species
AGAGAGAGACAUGCGCGCAUAUCAAUAAGCGGAGGAAAAGAAACUAACUAGGAUUCCCUCAGUAACGGCGAGUGAAGCGGGAAGAGCUCAAAUUUGAAAUCUUCAAGGGUUCUACCUUUACGAAUUGUAGUUUAAAGAAGUGUUUUCUGUUGAGGUUUUGGUAAAAGUUCUUUGGAAUAGGACAUCAUAGAGGGUGAGAAUCCCGUAUUUGACCAUUACUUUCCAACUUUGUGAUACACUUUCAAAGAGUCGGAUUGUUUGGGAAUGCAGUCCAAAAUGGGUGGUAAAUUUUAUCUAAAGCUAAAUACUGGCGAGAGACCGAUAGCGAACAAGUACCGUGAGGGAAAGAUGAAAAGAACUUUGAAAAGAGAGUUAAGCAGUACGUGAAAUUGUCAAAAGGGAAGCGUUUGACACCAGUGUUGUUUUCUCGAAAAUCAAUUAAAAAAGGCAGGAUUUUGUGUUGUAUUGACUUUAUCAGCUUUCUGCACUCUUUUCUUGUCUUUUUUAAUGCACUUUUCGUUUAACAAGUCAACAUCAAUUUCUUUUGUUGUAAAAGGGUCAUUGGAAGGUGGCUUUCUUUUCGGAGAAAGUGUUUAUAGCCUUUGGCCUCUGCAAUCGGAGAGAUUGAGGUCUGCAGCGUAGAUCCUUCGGGGUUAGAUACAUUUGUGCUAAGUUAUAGCCUUUUCAUAGACAACUUGUUGACUAUGAUCAGUCAUGUAGCUUACUCGCUUAUGCUAUUUUACCUACGCUUAGGAUGUUGAUGUGAUACUGCGAGCA